rnacentral:rRNA from 1 species
AUGAAGGGCAUCCCUGCAAUGUUGGAUCUGCAUCAUUUUCCAAUCAUUCAAGAGGAAGCGGAUCCUCUUGAAGAAGCUUCUCACCAGCAAAGCCAGGAAGUGGAAGGAAUGCCUGAUCUGGAACUCAAUCUUCAGGUGUUGAAUCUGUCAGCACCAAGAAUAUGUAGUCUACAAGCCAAACUAGAGGAACAGAGCCAGGAUAUUCAGGAGACCCAUAUGUUACUGAUGAAAGUAGCAUGCACAGCAGGAACUCCUAGAGUGAUUUCAGAGCACACAAUUAAUCAAGCCAUGGCACGACCUUGGAGACAACAUUUCUAUGCAAUAUCCCAGGUAUCUACUAAUCUGUUCACGGCAUAUUUUAAUUCUCAAGAGGACAUGAUGUUUGUCUUCACAUGA